UUUCAGCCAAGGCGUACUUGGGGUUUAAAACCCCCCGAGGUGAAGAAUACAGUUAAUUGCUUUGUACUGCUGUUACUAUUUGCUUCUGGUUUGACUGCUGUGCUCUGCAAACGCAGAAUAACAACUCUAGUGGGCCUGGGAUCAGAUGACAUGCUGAUUUCCCCACCCUUCGAUGCUGCCUGGCCUUGACUCAGUCCAUUGUCUUGGAAGAGAAGAGAGAUAGUUCCUUAUGUGGAAAAGUCUUUGAAGAAUGAAAGAAAGGGAAUCAGAGACUACAGAGGUAUCCCAGAAGUGCCUCAAAGAUCAUCAGAACAACGGUCUGGACCAGAAAACUGGUAAACUAUGGACAAGAGAGGAAGGUGUGAUGCAGAGGUUUUCUACCUUGAGUUAUUUGUAAAAAUAAUAAAGGCAUGAUACAAAUA